UACGUAGGGUGCGAGCGUUGUCCGGAAUUAUUGGGCGUAAAGAGCUCGUAGGCGGUGUGUCACGUCGGCCGUGAAAACCUGCAGCUUAACUGUGGGCUUGCGGUCGAUACGGGCAGACUUGAGUUCGGUAGGGGAGACUGGAAUUCCUGGUGUAGCGGUGAAAUGCGCAGAUAUCAGGAGGAACACCGGUGGCGAAGGCGGGGUCUCUGGGGCCGAUGACUGACGCUGAGGAGCGAAAGCGUGGGGAGCAAACAGG
rnacentral:rRNA from 1 species